rnacentral:miRNA from 1 species
AAUGGCACUAGGAAAACUCACGG